rnacentral:lncRNA from 1 species
GCGCUCGGAAGGAAGGACUCGCUCAUCGUCUUGAGGAAGCGGAUGCAGGAGAAAGAGGUGAACGAACCAUCGAACAUAAACAUCAACACGCUGCUCGGUGUGUUCGGGACGUUCCUGCUGACGGUCCUCCUGAUCGUCUACAUCGUCGCUGGUGGAACGCAGCCGCCGGUGACUACAU